rnacentral:rRNA from 1 species
UACGUAGGGGGCAAGCGUUGUCCGGAGUUACUGGGCGUAAAGGGCACGCAGGCGGUCAGGGGCGUGUGCGGGGACAGUGGGCGGCUUAACUGCCCAAGAGACGCACAAACGGCCUGACUGGAGGGCCAGAGAGGGACCUGGAAUUCCGGGUGGAGCGGUGAAAUGCGUAGAGAUCCGGAGGAACACCAAGGGCGAAGGCAAGGUCCUGGCUGGUACCUGACGCUCGGGGUGCGAAAGCCAGGGGAGGCGA